rnacentral:rRNA from 1 species
GACGAACGCUGGCGGCGUGCUUAACACAUGCAAGUCGAACGAAGAGCGAUGGAAGCUUGCUUCUAUCAAUCUUAGUGGCGAACGGGUGAGUAACGCGUAAUCAACCUGCCCUUCAGAGGGGGCCAACAGUUGGUAACGACUGCUCAUACCGCAUACGAUCUAACCUCGGCGUCGAGGGUAGAUGAACGGUGGCCUCUACAUGUAAGCUAUCACUGCAGGUGGGGAUUGCGUCUGUUUCGCUAGUUGGAGGGGUAACGGCCCCCCUAGGCGAUGAUCAGUAGCACGUAUGAGAGGAUGAACAGCCACAUUGGGAGGGAGACACGGCCCAGAGGCAUACGGGAGGGAGCAGUGGGGAAUCUGGCGCAAUGGAUGAAAGACUGACGGAGCAACGCCGAGUGAGGGAUGACGGCCGUCGGGUUGUAAAGCUCUGUUAAUCGGGUCGAAAGGGCUUCUUGCGAAGAGGGAGAAGGAUUGACGGUACCGGAAUAGAAAGCAACGGCUAACUACGUG